GACGAACGCUGGCGGCGUGCUUAACACAUGCAAGUCGAACGGAAAGGCCCUGCUUUUGUGGGGUGCUCGAGUGGCGAACGGGUGAGUAACACGUGAGUAACCUGCCCUUGACUUUGGGAUAACUUCAGGAAACUGGGGCUAAUACCGGAUAGGAGCUCCUGCUGCAUGGUGGGGGUUGGACAGUUUCGGCGGUUGGGGAUGGACUCGCGGCUUAUCAGCUUGUUGGUGGGGUAGUGGCUUACCAAGGCUUUGACGGGUAGCCGGCCUGAGAGGGUGACCGGCCACAUUGGGACUGAGAGACGGCCCAGACUCCUACGGGAGGCAGCAGUGGGGAAUAUUGCACAAUGGGCGGAAGCCUGAUGCAGCAACGCCGCGUGCGGGAUGACGGCCUUCGGGUUGUAAACCGCUUUCGCCUGUGACGAAGCGUGAGUGACGGUAAUGGGUAAAGAAGCACCGGCUAACUACGUG
rnacentral:rRNA from 1 species